CUCCCUUUGAGGCCCGAGGCAGGGGCUUCCAGGGCCCAGCGGCCCGGUGGGGGCGGGUCCUGGAGACCCCAUGGACCGUUGAUCCCCGGGCGCCUACCUGGGCGGGCCUGAGUCCCCCAUCCUGGGCAGCCUGUGCAGCGCGCGCCACCUCGCGGCCGUUUCUGGGCGUGCACCUUCAGCACUUGGCUCCAAGGCCCUCUCUGGCCGGAACUCACAGCCGGCCUCUUCUCCUUGGCCAGGCCCAUCUCAGGGGUAAUUGUAGCAACUAAAAUGACAUCUCUCGACAAAGAAAGAACAAGGGGAAAAAAAAAGGACUGGUUGGCUUAAGACAACACAACAUACGCUUAUUUCUCAUAAUUCUAGAAGCUGGGAAGUCCAAGAUCCAGGUGCUGGCAGAUUCUGGGUCCGGUGAGAGCCAACUUGCUGGUUUGCAGAGGGCCAUCUUCUUGUAUCCCCACCUGGUGGAGAAGGAGAGAACUGGCUCUCUGGUUGAUUGUUCAAGGGCUCCAGCCUCAUGAAGGAAUUACCUCCCAAAGGCCCCAGCUCCAAACACCAUCACAUUAGGGGUUAGAUUUCAUUAUAUGAAUUUUGGGGGCACACGGACUUUCAGCCUAUGACACUACCAAAGGAAGAAUAGCACUGUGGGGCCUGGAGAGGAAGAAGAAAAUGUGAGAGUAAUUAUAGCAUGUACCCUAACUUGGUUUAGGGCUUCCCAGGUGGUGCUAGUGGUAAAGAACUUGCCUGUCAAUACAGAAGACACAAAAGACAAGGGUUCCAUCCUUGGGCCGGGAAGACCCUCUGGAGAAUGAAAUGGCAACCCACUCCAGUAUUCUUACCUGGAGAAUCCCAUGGACAGAGGAGCCUGGCGGGCUGCAGUCCAUGGGGUCACAAAGAGUCGGACUGACUGAAGCGAUUUACCGUGCACCCACUAACUUGAUGUAUCAUGGCAGACCAGGGAAGGCAAAAUGACAAUGAGUUGGAUAAAACAAGCAAAUUCAGAGUCGAGGAGGAUGGGCUUGCCACCGCAUUUGAAAAGUGGGACACCAGUAGCUUUAGGAGUGAAGAGUUCAGUUAGUUUCUAAACACAGAUAGGAAACAGCUGAAGCUGGCAUUUCAGCACAUCUUGUGGUAAGAAAAUGCAAGAGAGAAAAUGAUAGGCGGAUCCCUGACUCCAAGAAUAUCUACAGAGAUGUGUGAGCACAGUUGCUGUGGUUCAGAUGAAAAUGAAGAUAAUACACAAAAUUAAAAUAAUGCAGCUAAAAAGUGAAAUAAGCUCACAUCUACACGAAACCAAUGAGUUGUCAUCAAACUAACGAGAAAUACGGCUGAAUGAUGGUGACAGCCAUUCUGGAGGCAUCCUUUCCGGUAGGGUUGGUGGAGCACACGUGAGGAAUACUUUGAGCUCCAGAAGAGUUGAGCUUCAAAGGGAUUGGGUUCCAAUAGCACCAGAUCCUUGUAUUUUAUUUUUAAAAAUAGCUAAAAUACAGUAUUUUGAAAUAGAUAUAAAGGUACUCCAGCCUAUGCAAUCCCUAUGUAUGAUUCAGUUGAAACAGUCUCCUAAAAGGCUGUGACAAUUUUCAGGAAAAAGUUGCCUUUAGAGGGUUCCAGAAAACCUAACCCCAGUUCGCUCAAACUACCAAGUCGUCCUGUCUCUGAGAUUCAGUUUAGGAAUGUUUUUUUCUAGGAAUAUUCCAGUCAUCAAGGUAUGUGCCUGAGUGUGGUGGUUAUGCAACUGGGGAGGCAGAGUGGGUUUGUGGAGAAGACAGGGUAGAAAUUUAUAGAUUUCCCCUCUCCUACAAGUUCUCUGAUAGAUCUGUAAGUUUCAGAUGCCCAGGUGAGCAUAAACGCCAGACCUUCAGAUCAUUACACUCUGAAGCAGGGACCAAAAGCUGCAUUGCCCGUGGGAGCUGCAGUCUGUGUUUGCCCUAUUUUCUUUUUUUCGCCUCUCACAUCUCUGACAGCUUAACUUGGCAGAGUUCAUGAAUAAGAGCACCAAGCUGAUUACUUUGCAUUUUCCUGUCACAGAAAUGUUGUCUGUGCAGUCACUUGGAAAAAAUGAAUGUAAAUUCCACAAAGGAUCAAGUUCUUGCUUAGGAAGCUUUUUGCAAACUCAUUAAAUUGAUGGCUUUUGGAGAGGGACCAAGGAGAGAAGCCAUGAUGGGGAAAAAUUGUCAAGAAAGUGCUCAGUGUAAUCUGCUUUCUAGAAUAAGGUUUAUACUGUGUAUAAUGACCAAUGGGGAAAAUAUACAUAAGGCUUGGAGAAAUGUAGUAGCAGGAACUGUUAAACUAAAAUUAUAACAUGCAGAAAAGGAGGGAGGGAGGAAGAAAGUAAGUUAAAAUGCGUUUGACAAAACGCGAGCUAAGUCAACUUCAGUCAUGUCCGACUCUUUGCAGUCCUAUGAACUGUAGCCUACCAGGCUCCUCUGUCCAUGCGAUUCUCCAGGCAAGAAUACUGGAGUGGGUUGCCAUGCUCUCCUCCAAAGCAUCCUCCUGGUCCAGGGAUCGAACUUGUAUCUCUUACCUCUCCUACAUUGAGAGGUGGGUUCUUUACCAUUAGGGCCACCUGGGAAGCCCUUUGCCAGUUAGCCACAUACAUUAAUGUAUAUUCUUAGAAAUACAAACUCUGCCAAAUACUCAAAGCAGAAAGGUACUGAGAACUAUUAUGGGUCCACCCUUUUGCAUGUAAAACAUAAACCAUUGUGGUCAAGCAGGCAGAGCUGAAAAAUUAAGGGAAGCACUCAAAAAUGUCAGAAGAAUUUAUCUCUCAAGAGGCUUAUUUCAGAUUACAAAAGGUCUAAGCCAGGGAGCAGCAAGGCCAUUUAUAAAGAUGUUCUCCAUAGGAAAUGAAAAGGAUGCGCUUUCUUCAGUUUCAGGCAGAAUGUGGAGUAAAACUGAUCCUGAAUGGUACAUUUCCCUUUAGCUUUUUAUUCUGUCUGAGUAUCAGCAGAAGUUUAACAUAUAAAGGUCCAUGAUGGGCCAUCAAAAUAAGAUACGUGCAUGUGUCCCAGGCGCGCACUGGCCCUAGGAGGUGCAAGGCGUGUAAAGGGGAGCAGUGCGCUGUUGUUGAACGUGGCUUUGUAGUGAUGUUUCUGAGAGCCACCAGAUGUCAGCAUCCGACAACUCUCUGAAAGAGGCUCUGGCUUCCUUUUUUAUUUUUCUCUGCGACAGACUUUCUGUUCAGCCAUUUUCUCCAACCAGAGAGACAGUGAAUGAGAAAUUGUAUAACAUUUAAAAUAACGCAGAUAAAAAUGGAUGAAGAUCAGCAAUUCAUUGGAUAUAACUGUUUUCCAGUCCUAAAGUUAUGAUAUGUUGCUAAGUCACUUCAGUCGUGUCCAACUCUGUGUGACCCAUAGACAGCAGCCCACCAG
ensembl:lncRNA